GACUGGCUUAGUGGUAAAGAAUCUGCCUGCAAUGCAGGAGACCAGGGUUCGAUCCCUGGGUCA
rnacentral:tRNA from 1 species